rnacentral:sRNA from 1 species
UAUCUCUCCGUACGGGGAAGGAUGAGAAGCUUCGACUAAGGUUCGAUUCGAGCGCAGCGAGAAAGCGUUGCCGCAGGCAACGACCCGAAGGGCGAAGCGCGCAGCGCUGAGUCAUCCUUCCCCCCCACCA